rnacentral:rRNA from 1 species
GUGCCAGCCGCCGCGGUAAUACGUAGGUGGCAAGCGUUGUCCGGAAUUACUGGGCGUAAAGGGCGUGUAGGCGGCCUUUUAAGUCAGACGUGAAAUCUCCAGGCUUAACCUGGAAACUGCGUUUGAAACUGGAGGGCUUGAGGAUCGGAGAGGGCAGUGGAAUUCCCAGUGUAGCGGUGAAAUGCGUAGAUAUUGGGAGGAACACCAGUGGCGAAGGCGACUGCCUGGACGACACCUGACGCUGAGGCGCGAAAGCUAGGGGAGCAAACGGGAUUAGAUACCCCCGUAGUCC